GAAAUAUGAGGAACAAGAAGAAGCUGCUAACUUCUAUCUUUAAUGGUUUAACUCCAUUAAUAUUUCU
rnacentral:tRNA from 1 species